AGGUCACUGACAUUAGAUACCCCCGUAGUCCCAGCCGUAAACUAUGCUCGCUAGGUGUCAGGCAUGGCGCGACCGUGUCUGGUGCCGCAGGGAAGCCGUGAAGCGAGCCACCUGGGAAGUACGGCCGCAAGGCUGAAACUUAAAGGAAUUGGCGGGGGAGCACAACAACGGGUGGAGCCUGCGGUUUAAUUGGACUCAACGCCGGACAACUCACCGGGGACGACAGCAAUAUGUAGGCCAGGCUGAAGACCUUGCCUGAAUCGCUG
rnacentral:rRNA from 1 species